AUAUCCUGUAGUUAAAAUGUCGCAAAUUUGAAAGAAAAGGUACCUGGUUUUGUAACUAUGCAUCAGAAGAAUCCAGAGAGGACAAAAGUUUGUGGGACUGUUGGGAGUAAACUGCUACUUGUAUGAAACUGAAACUAGUUUGUUUUAGACUAUCAUUAUGUGAUUUGUGUUAGUCAGGCAAAAUUGUACCCUCUAAUAAUUUUAAAUAAUUUUAUAUUAUUUUAAAAUUAUUUUUACUGUAUUUAAGUCAUAUAAUUAUAGUAGGAUUUUAAUAUUAAAAGAUUUUAAAAACUACGAUACAAAAGCAGUUGAUUGCUUCUUGGUCUCCACUGGUACUCCCCACUGCUUCAUCUGUAAAGACUGAUGCUGAGACUGAUAUCGAGUCAUCCUUAGUACUUAGUAACACUGUAACAAUAGUAAUUCUUUCUAGCAAAAUUUGUCAUGAUGGUUACUUUGCUCUUUUGAGCAACUUGUUGAAAAAAUAGAAAUGAUUUCUAGAUCUA